CAGCAGCCGCGGUAAUACGGAGGAUCCGAGCGUUAUCCGGAAUUAUUGGGUUUAAAGGGUGCGUAAGCGGAUAGAUAAGUCAGUGGUGAAAGACGGUGGCUCAACCAUCGCAGUGCCGUUGAUACUGUUUAUCUUGAAUAUGGAUGAGGUAGGCGGAAUGUGGCAAGUAGCGGUGAAAUGCAUAGAUAUGCCACAGAACACCGAUUGCGAAGGCAGCUUACCAAGGCAAAAUUGACGCUGAGGCACGAAAGCGUGGGGAUCGAACAGGAUUAGAUACCUGUGUAGUCCCUGUCUCUUAUAC
rnacentral:rRNA from 1 species